rnacentral:rRNA from 1 species
UGCCUUUAGCUAGAAUAUUAAAGGUAUGUCCUGCCCGGUGAAUUGAGGUUUUAACGGCCGCGGUAUAUUGACCGUGCGAAGGUAGCAUAAUCAUUUGCCUUUUAAUUGGAGGCUGGUAUGAAUGGAUUAACGAGGGACCAAUUGUCUCAUUUUUAAGAAUAGAAAUUAGUAUUUAGGUGAAGAAACCUAAAUAUAAUUAAAAGACAAGAAGACCCUAUCGAGUUUGAUUUUAGUACUAUGCCUUAAAAAUGUUAUAUAUUUUAAGGAAAGGUUUAUAAAUUUGGUUGGGGCGACUGGAGAAUUAUUAAAGCUUCUCUAAUAAUAAGAGUAUAAAUCGUUUGGAUGAUCCAUUAAUAUGAUUAGAAGAAAAAUACUACCGUAGGGAUAACAGGCUAAUUUCUCUAGAGAGUUCACAUUGACAGAGAAGGUUGGCACCUCGAUGUUGGCUUAGAAUAUCCUUUAUAUGCAGCAGUAUAAUAGGGUUGGUUUGUUCAACCAUAAAAAUUCU